UACGUAGGGGGCAAGCGUUGUCCGGAUUCAUUGGGCGUAAAGAGCUCGUAGGCGGCUUAGCAAGUCGGGUGUGAAAACUCCAGGCUCAACCUGGAGACGCCACCCGAUACUGCUAUGGCUAGAGUCCGGUAGGGGACCACGGAAUUCCUGGUGUAGCGGUGAAAUGCGCAGAUAUCGAGAGGAACACCUGCGGCGAAGGCGGGUUGCUGGGCUGACACUGACGCUGAUGCGCGAAAGCUAGGGGAGCGAACGGG
rnacentral:rRNA from 1 species